AGGUUAUCUCCUUCAUCAAAUAUGCUCCAGAUCUGCUCUUUUCUCAGGAGCACGACGGCCGGCGAAGGCUCUCGGCGAGUACGAGCACGGCGGCAGGCGACGCGCUUUGGCAAGGAGCAUGGUGGCCGGCGAUGCUCUCGACGACCAGUAGCACGACGGCCGGAAAAGGCUCUCGGUAAGCAGGAGCAUGGGUGGCGGCAACGUGCUUGGAAAGCAGGAACAUGACGGCAGGCGAAGGCUCUCGCCGAGCAGGACCACAACAGGUUCCAAAGCUCUCGGCGAGUAGGAGCACGGUGGCCGGCAACCUGCUCAGCGAGCAGGAGCGCGACGACGAGCGAAUGCUCUCGCCAAACAGGAGCACUAUGGCCUCUCAAGCUCUCGGGUAGUAGGAGCACGGAGGCUGGCGACCGGCUCGACGAGCAGGAGCACGACGGCAGGCGAAGGCUCUUGGCGAGCAUGAGCAAGGCGGGCGGCGGCAUGUCGGCAAGGAGGAGCCUGGAGGUGGUCUCAGCUGGCCUUCUCCCCUGGUUGCCGGCGAGGAGAAGCUAUCUAGGUGUUGGGCGAGUGCAGUUGGCGGUGUUUGUAUUUCUGCUACCUAAAUUUGAAGUUGAUAGAGUUAAAUGGUGCAGUUCUAUAAUUCAGAUAUUUUGAAACAGUGAUGCAGUAAAUAUUAAUUGAGAUGGCUGCUGUUAUUUUACCA